rnacentral:rRNA from 1 species
GACGAACGCUGGCGGCGUGCUUAACACAUGCAAGUCGAACGGAAAGGCCCUGCUUUUGUGGGGUGCUCGAGUGGCGAACGGGUGAGUAAUACGUGAGUAACCUGCCCUUGACUUUGGGAUAACUUCAGGAAACUGGGGCUAAUACCGGAUAGGAGCUCCUGCUGCAUGGUGGGGGUUGGAAAGUUUCGGCGGUUGGGGAUGGACUCGCGGCUUAUCAGCUUGUUGGUGGGGUAGUGGCUUACCAAGGCUUUGACGGGUAGCCGGCCUGAGAGGGUGACCGGCCACAUUGGGACUGAGAUACGGCCCAGACUCCUACGGGAGGCAGCAGUGGGGAAUAUUGCACAAUGGGCGGAAGCCUGAUGCAGCAACGCCGCGUGCGGGAUGACGGCCUUCGGGUUGUAAACCGCUUUCGCCUGUGACGAAGCGUGAGUGACGGUAAUGGGUAAAGAAGCACCGGCUAACUACGUGCCAGCAGCCGCGGUGAUACGUAGGGUGCGAGCGUUGUCCGGAUUUAUUGGGCGUAAAGGGCUCGUAGGUGGUUGAUCGCGUCGGAAGUGUAAUCUUGGGGCUUAACCCUGAGCGUGCUUUCGAUACGGGUUGACUUGAGGAAGGUAGGGGAGAAAUGGAAAUUCCUGGGGAAGCCGGUGGAAUGCGCCAGAUAUCAGGAGGAACCCCCAGUGGCGAAGGGCGUUUCUCUGGGCCCUUCCCUGACGCGAAGGAGCGAAAGCGUGGGGAGCGAACAGGCUUAGAUACCCUGGUAGUCCACGCUGUAAACGGUGGGUACUAGGUGUGGGGUCCAUUCCACGGGUUCCGUGCCGUAGCUAACGCUUUAAGUACCCCGCCUGGGGAGUACGGCCGCAAGGCUAAAACUCAAAGGAAUUGACGGGGCCCCGCACAAGCGGCGGAGCAUGCGGAUUAAUUCGAUGCAACGCGUAGAACCUUACCUGGGUUUGACAUGGAUCGGGAGUGCUCAGAGAUGGGUGUGCCUCUUUUGGGGUCGGUUCACAGGUGGUGCGUGGCUGUCGUCAGCUCGUGUCGUGAGAUGUUGGGUUAAGUCCCGCAACGAGCGCAACCCUUGUUCACUGUUGCCAGCACGUUAUGGUGGGGACUCAGUGGAGACCGCCGGGGUCAACUCGGAGGAAGGUGGGGAUGACGUCAAGUCAUCAUGCCCCUUAUGUCCAGGGCUUCACGCAUGCUACAAUGGCUGGUACAGAGAGUGGCGAGCCUGUGAGGGUGAGCGAAUCUCGGAAAGCCGGUCUCAGUUCGGAUUGGGGUCUGCAACUCGACCUCAUGAAGUCGGAGUCGCUAGUAAUCGCAGAUCAGCAACGCUGCGGUGAAUACGUUCCCGGGGCU